CAAAGAGGGGGACCUUCGGGCCUCUUGCCAUCGGAUGUGCCCAGAUGGGAUUAGCUAGUAGGUGGGGUAACGGCUCACCUAGGCGACGAUCCCUAGCUGGUCUGAGAGGAUGACCAGCCACACUGGAACUGAGACACGGUCCAGACUCCUACGGGAGGCAGCAGUGGGGAAUAUUGCACAAUGGGCGCAAGCCUGAUGCAGCCA
rnacentral:rRNA from 1 species